rnacentral:tRNA from 1 species
GCGCCCAUAGCUCAAUUGGAAGAGCUUCGGUCUUCGGAACCGACGGUUGCAGGUUCGAACCCUGCUGGGCGUACCA